GGGCGCAUAGCUCACUCGCGAGAGCACAGAGCUAAUAACGCUGCGCUCCACGGUUCGAGCGCCUGUGUGACCA
rnacentral:tRNA from 1 species